GUAGGUGGCAAGCGUUGUCCGGAAUUAUUGGGCGUAAAGCGCGCGCAGGCGGUCCUUUAAGUCUGAUGUGAAAGCCCACGGCUCAACCGUGGAGGGUCAUUGGAAACUGGGGGACUUGAGUACAGAAGAGGAAAGCGGAAUUCCAAGUGUAGCGGUGAAAUGCGUAGAGAUUUGGAGGAACACCAGUGGCGAAGGCGGCUUUCUGGUCUGUAACUGACGCUGAGGCGCGAAAGCGGGGGGAGCAAACAGGAUUAGAUACCCUGGUAGUCCACGCCGUAAACGAUGAGUGCUAAGUGUUAGGGGGUUUCCCGCCCCCUUAGUGCUGCAGCUAACGCAUUAAGCACUCCGCCUGGGGAGUACGGCCGCAAGGCUG
rnacentral:rRNA from 1 species